rnacentral:rRNA from 1 species
UGCAGUCGAGCGGUAACAUUUCCAGCUUGCUGGAAGAUGACGAGCGGCGGACGGGUGAGUAACGCGUAGGAAUCUACCGAGUAGUGGGGGAUAGCCCAGAGAAAUUUGGAUUAAUACCUUAUACGCCCUUCGGGGGAAAGAUUUAUCGGAUUUGGAUCGGCCCGCGUUAAAUUACGUAGUUGGUGGGGUAACGGCCUACCAGGCCUAGCAUCUAUAGCUGGUUUUAUAGAAUGAUCAUCAACACUGGAACUGACACACGGCCCAUACUCCUACGGGAGGAAUCAUUGGGGAAUCUUGGACAAUGGGCGCAAGCCUGAUCCAGACAUGCCGCGUGAGUGAUGAAGGCCCUAUGGUCGUAGAGCUCUUUCUCCAGAGAUGAUUAUGACAGUAUCUGGUAAAGAAACCCCGGCUAACUCCGUGCCAACAGCCGCGGUAAUACAGAGGGGGUUAGCGUUGUUCGGAAUUACUGGGCGUAAAGCGCGCGUAGGCGGACUGGAAAGUUGGGGGUGAAAUCCCGGGGCUCAACCCCGGAACUGCCUCCAAACUAUCAGUCUAGAGUUCGAGAGAGGUGAGUGGAAUUCCGAGUGUAGAGGUGAAAUUCGUAGA